rnacentral:rRNA from 1 species
UGUGAUCGGCAUACUGGGCGUAAGCGUACGUAGGCGGAUUAGUCAGUCAGAGGUGAAAUCCCAGGUCUUCAACCCUGGAACUGCCUUUGAUACUGCUAGUCUUGAGUUCGAGAGAGGUGAGUGGAAUUCCAAGUGUAGAGGUGAAAUUCGUAGAUAUUUGGAGGAACACCAGUGGCGAAGGCGGCUCACUGGCUCGAUACUGACGCUGAGGUACGAAAGUGUGGGGAGCGAACAGGAUUAGAUACCCUGGUAGUCCACACCGUACACGAUGAAUGCCAGUCGUCGGGCAGUAUACUGUUCGGUGACACACCUAACGGAUUAAGCAUUCCGCCUGGGGAGUACGGUCGCAAGAUUAAAACUCAAAGGAAUUGACGGGGGCCCGCACAAGGGGUGGAGCAUGUGGUUUAAUUCGAAGCAACGCGCAGAACCUUACCAACCCUUGACAUCCUAUGAGAGCGUGAGAGAUGAGGCUUUCCUUCGGGGACAUAGUGACAGGUGCUGCAUGGCUGUCGUCAGCUCGUGGUCGUGAGAUGUUCGGUUAAAUCCGGCAGAR